rnacentral:rRNA from 2 species
AGGUGAGUAACGCAGCUAACGCACUAAGUUGACCGCCUGGGGAGUACGGCCGCAAGGUUAAAACUCAAAUGAAUUGACGGGGGCCCGCACAAGCGGUGGAGCAUGUGGUUUAAUUCGAUGCAACGCGAAGAACCUUACCAUCCCUUGACAUCCAGUGAAUUUUCCAGAGAUGGAUUAGUGCCUUCGGGAACACUGAGACAGGUGCUGCAUGGCUGUCGUCAGCUCGUGUUGUGAGAUGUUGGGUUAAGUCCCGCAACGAGCGCAACCCUUAUCCUCAGUUGCCAGCACGUAAUGGUGGGAACUCUGUGGAGACUGCCGGUGAUAAACCGGAGGAAGGUGGGGACGACGUCAAGUCAUCAUGGCCCUUACGGGAUGGGCUACACACGUGCUACAAUGGCGCAUACAAAGGGAAGCAAGCUAGCGAUAGUAAGCGGAUCUCAAAAAGUGCGUCGUAGUCCGGAUCGGAGUCUGCAACUCGACUCCGUGAAGUCGGAAUCGCUAGUAAUCGUGGAUCAGAAUGCCACGGUGAAUACGUUCCCGGGCCUUGUACACACCGCCCGUCACACCAUGGGAGUGGGCUGCACCAGAAGUGGUUAGUUUAACCUUCGGGAGAACGAUCACCACGGUGUGGUUCAUGACUGGGGUGAAGUCGUAACAAGGUAGCCGUAGGGGAACCUGCGGCUGGAUCACCUCCUUA